rnacentral:tmRNA from 1 species
GGGGGCGACUUGGCUUCGACGGGAGUGGGGAGAUAAUGGUUGCGUGUCGAGGUUCCUAAUCACCUCGUAAAACAAUUGGGAAAAAAUUGUACCUGCGAACGAUAAUACGUACGCAAUGGCUGCCUAACUAACCGUUACGCAGUCCGUUCUACCAGACUUCGCCUGUGUGGUCUGGAUAGAGCGCCGACUAGAGCAGGCUAGUUCAGGCGCCUCCGCGCGAGGGCCUCCGAACGAAUCUUAAUCGCGCUGGCACUUCUGCGACCCUGUCUAUCGGGGCGCGAAGCGUGAGAAUGUGUAAAUAGAUAGGCUACACACGUAGACGCUGUUGUUAAGUUGCUUUCGGACGCGGGUUCGAUUCCCGCCGCCUCCACUA